rnacentral:lncRNA from 1 species
UUUCAGCCUCUGCGCGCACUCAGCGGGGUGUCCGUGUGCUUCCAGGUCCAGGACCGACACUUCCGCUGCAGGGGGGGCCGGGCUUCGGCGCAGGGCGGUUUCCCAGCGGCCCGUUCAGGGGUGUCCCGUUCCGGGGGCGACCCAGCAAAGCAGGUCGCUAUCCUGGUGCCCAGUUUGGAAUGGGUGCUGGCCUGGGGCCCGGUUUGGGGACCGCGCUCGGGAACGGACUCGGUGUUGGCCAGCUGCUGGGAAAGCAGCGCGGAGGUGAGCGAUGGCGCGACGGGCGGCUGCGGAGGCACCGCCUCCCGCCAGGGCGGGUGGAAGUUCACUCGGCCUUUAACUGUGUGUUCGCAGGGUACGGCGCUAAAGGCUUCGGCUACGGCGGGCAGCCUCUCGGAGGUCAGUGCGCUCGCGUCCUCCUUAGUUCUAGCACUUUCUUCAGAAGGCAGCCGUCUCAAAGAUGAGCGCUUCUCGUUGUUGGCGCACGUGGUGAUUUUGGCGACGGCCGGGUCGCUGCGGCGGCGCACUUCCCUGCUUUCGAUUCCAUGUGGAAAGGAUGGAAUCUUGUUACCUUCCUCACACAUCUGUAUUGCCAUGUCCAUCUGCACACCUUCAUUUCGCCCUGUUGUCAGGUUUCAGGCCGGGGGUUGGUGCGUAUCCCCCCGCGGGGCUGGGUCCCGGAGCAGGAGCAGGCCGUGCCGCUGGAGUCGCGCCGCAGAACGGCCAGGGGGCCAAAGCCACCAAAGCGGGUUACGGCCCCUGGACCGGAGGGUACCCGGGCGCGGGAUGGGCCAACGGUUAUGGACCAGGUGUGGGACCAGGCGGAUUCUUCGACAGCGGAAAGGCCAGAGCAGGCGGUGA